ensembl:lncRNA
UUUGCUAUUUAAGCUGCUUUUGUUUGGUAGUGUAAAGCAAAACUAAUUCUAACAUUUGGUUUUGGUUUAGGGGGUCAGCAGCAUACUGCUCGAUUUAUUCUAUUGAGGGGGGAGAACGAUGAGCAAGUGUGGCUUGGGGGAUUGCAAGUAUCCAGGGUCAGGAGAGGGGGUAGGUGGGAAACCCGGUGCUGCCACUUGGCCCUGGUUUGUCCCCAUGGAUGAGGUAUUGGGACAGAGGCAUUCCACCAACCCCCCUGUCCUAAUUGCCUCCAUCCCUGAGAACACACCAGGGCCAAGUACAGCAAGUACAGCAGUGGUGGAUCAGGAGGUGGAGGACAAGGAUCAGGAGGAGGAAAGACAGCGAGGGCCAAGGUCCAGAAAGAGGGACAGAGAUGAAGACAUGUUCCAGAGUCGCUCACUAUCUUCCGAAAAGGACUCAAGACUCACCUGUUCAGAGUCCACCUCGACUGCAUAGCCACCCUCCCCCUUCUGGCAACCAUUGUACACUGUGUUGUAUUGUAUUGUAUUAUAGUACUUAACUGUGUAGCAACUGCAGUAGCUGCUAUCAUGGCUGUAACACGGGGAAUUGAUUAGCCUAGCGAUUGUGGUUCUAUGAACAUCCUUUCUGUACCGACAGCGAUAUAUUGAUGCACUUCUUAUGACAAAUGUACUUAUUGUAAAUCGCUUUGGAUUAAAGAUUAAAGCGUCUGCUAAAUGCCCUAAAUGUAAAUGUAAAAUGUAAAUGUUCAAGUUAAUAAAAGAGGACAUGAGGCUACAAAGGGGGGAGGCAGAGGAGAGAAGAGCCCAGGGAAAGAAUGGAUAGGUUUUUCUCAUUUUUGGAGCGUUUGGUGGACAAAUAACUUAUGUUCU